rnacentral:rRNA from 1 species
GUGGGGAAUUUUGGACAAUGGGCGCAAGCCUGAUCCAGCAAUGCCGCGUGCAGGAAGAAGGCCUUCGGGUUGUAAACUGCUUUUGUACGGAACGAAACGGUCCUGGCUAAUAUCCGGGGCUAAUGACGGUACCGUAAGAAUAAGCACCGGCUAACUACGUGCCAGCAGCCGCGGUAAUACGUAGGGUGCGAGCGUUAAUCGGAAUUACUGGGCGUAAAGCGUGCGCAGGCGGUGCUGUAAGACAGGCGUGAAAUCCCCGGGCUCAACCUGGGAAUUGCGCUUGUGACUGCAGUGCUGGAGUGCGGCAGAGGGGGAUGGAAUUCCGCGUGUAGCAGUGAAAUGCGUAGAUAUGCGGAGGAACACCGAUGGCGAAGGCAAUCCCCUGGGCCUGCACUGACGCUCAUGCACGAAAGCGUGGGGAGCAAACAGGAUUAGAAACCCGAGUAGUCC